GGGCCCGCACAAGCGGUGGAGCAUGUGGUUUAAUUCGAUGAUACGCGAGGAACCUUACCAGGGCUUAAAUGUGGUUUGACAGCUUUAGAGAUAGAGUUUUCUUCGGACAAAUCACAAGGUGCUGCAUGGUUGUCGUCAGCUCGUGCCGUGAGGUGUCAGGUUAAGUCCUAUAACGAGCGCAACCCCUGUUGUUAGUUGCCAGCGAGUAAUGUCGGGAACUCUAGCAAGACUGCCGGUGCAAACCGUGAGGAAGGUGGGGAUGACGUCAAAUCAUCACGGCCCUUACGUCCUGGGCUACACACGUGCUACAAUGGUAGGGACAGAGAGCAGCCAUUUCGCGAGAAAGAGCGAAUCUCAAAAAGCCUAUCGUAGUCCAGAUUGGAGUCUGCAACUCGACUCCAUGAAGUAGGAAUCGCUAGUAAUCG
rnacentral:rRNA from 1 species